rnacentral:rRNA from 1 species
GAUGAACGCUGGCGGCGUGCCUAAUACAUGCAAGUCGAGCGAACGGACGAGAAGCUUGCUUCUCUGAUGUUAGCGGCGGACGGGUGAGUAACACGUGGAUAACCUACCUAUAAGACUGGGAUAACUUCGGGAAACCGUAGCUAAUACCGGAUAAUAUUUUGAACCGCAUGGUUCAAAAGUGAAAGACGGUCUUUCUGUCACUUAUAGAUGGAUCCGCGCUGCAUUAGCUAGUUGGUAAGGUAACGGCUUACCAAGGCAACGAUGCAUAUCCGACCUGAGAGGGUGAUCGGCCACACUGGAACUGAGGCACGGUCCAGACUCCUACGGGAGGCAGCAGUAGGGAAUCUUCCGCAAUGGGCGAAAGCCUGACGGAGCAACGCCGCGUGAGUGAUGAAGGUCUUCGGAUCGUAAAACUCUGUUAUUAGGGAAGAACAUAUGUGUAAGUAACUGUGCACAUCUUGACGGUACCUAAUCAGAAAGCCACGGCUAACUACGUG